UUUUUUCCACUCCUUGUUCCUCCUUACUAUGUAUAACUUCCUUCAGCUAUUUAAAACCUUUUAAAUGCUCCAGCUUUUUCAGGAACAAGAGGAGAGAUGCUGGGGUUACUGCUCUGCAGACCGGGUCUCCCUUCCAAAGGCCUUCAAAGAGCAAGUGAAAAACUGUGACCCAUGUGAGAUCAUGGAUAUUUUUCAGGACAAACUAACCAUAAAACUGUACACAUCCAUAUCUGCAGUGCUCCAGGAAGAAUAGCAGUGAAUUGUCUAGACAUGGUAGUUCCACAGCUAUUGACCCUGGUUCUCAGCCAACAGUCCUCAGUCUUAUAGCCCACUUGUCAUCAGAUGUCUAGGAACUUCAACAUCUCGCACAUUUAUUGGCCUAAGUGGCAAUUGAUGUGGUAUGGGUUUCUGUAGUUACGUCUUACCAUGUUGUUUAAGGGAGAGACACUUUACAUUUGGCUCCUCUGAUAAAAUGUGUCCAAUUCAUUCUGUUGUUCGUCCAUCGAUUUCGAUGAAGACCUUGACAUCUUGUGGAUUGUGGGCCAUCAACGGUGUGUCCGUAGAUGGCUGAUUAGACCGAUGUUAGCACGAAAUGUUCUGCCACAUACUGAACAGAGAAAUGUGGACACUGUUGCUUCAGCUGAUGCUGAAAUGCAAAUGCUGAAGUCCAAUUCAUUCUAGUGAACACUGAAGACCACUUAUCUUAUUAGAUAAGCAAAUGUCCAUAUUCAUGCAAUGGUUAAUAUAUAUUGAUGUCUUUAUAUCACUCUUCCUUAACCUGGUGUUCUCUAGUUGUAUUUUAUUUGAAUUUCUCACAUCUCCAGCAGGCACCAGAUUAGAGAAGACUGGUAUAACCAGCUUAAAAUGAUGCGCAUUGAAGAUCAAUAUAUCUGGACAGCAUUUAAUUAUGGAAAAUGGUUGUAUGCCAGAACAAUGAUAUUAAACAACUACC